AACGCACCUUGCACUCCUUGGUUUACCUAUGGAGUAUGCCUGUUUGAGUGUCAUGUUGACAUCAGUUCUCCCAGGUUUUCUAACAUAAAUGAUGCCUGUUGGAUGAAUUGGACUUGGAGGAAUAUAUGAUGCAGGUCCCCUCUUAUCUUGGGGGAGAUCAGCACCUCCUGAAAAUAUUAGCUGGAGGAUGAGACAAAAGAGACUUUCUAGUGUGUGUGUCUUGUUGCUGUGCUAUGGUGUGAUAAUCAUUUCAUCAUGGUGUUUAGAAGUGACAAGCAAAAUGCACAUUUGCAAAGUCAUUUUGUAGCUUGCUCUGCUGCAAAUAUAUAUGCAAUAUAGCAAUCAAUUAGACAUUUUGGCCUCAAAUCAGGCAGGAUUACCCGCUGAACUUAA
rnacentral:misc_RNA from 1 species